rnacentral:rRNA from 1 species
UACGAAGGGGGCUAGCGUUGCUCGGAAUCACUGGGCGUAAAGGGUGCGUAGGCGGGUCUUUUAAGUCAGGGGUGAAAUCCUGGAGCUCAACUCCAGAACUGCCUUUGAUACUGAAGAUCUUGAGUUCGGGAGAGGUGAGUGGAACUGCGAGUGUAGAGGUGAAAUUCGUAGAUAUUCGCAAGAACACCAGUGGCGAAGGCGGCUCACUGGCCCGAUACUGACGCUGAGGCACGAAAGCGUGGGGAGCAAACGGG